CGGCGGCGGCCGCGUCAGGUGACAGCCCGGAAGCAGCGGAAGCGGAUGAGGGAAGCGCGGCCCCGGCCCUGGGGGGCGGCGCGCAGCUGCAGGAGCUUCGGCCUCCUCCAGGCCACUGCGCGGCCCUCAUGCGGCGCCCCUGCUGACACCUGAAGUCCGCCGCUCGCCGUCCUCCUCGGGACCGCGGGGUCGCCUGGCCCGCCGCCCUUGGCGGUUGAAGUCGUCGUCUUGCGGGCCCGCGGCGGCCGCCCAUGGAGAAGUCCGGGCGGGGAGGCGAUGGCGCCCCCCGGGGGCCUGUACUGCACAUCGUGGUGGUUGGCUUUCAUCACAAGAAGGGCUGCCAGGUUGAAUUCUCUUACCCACCCCUGAUUCCAGGAGAUGGACAUGACAGCCACACUUUACCUGAAGAAUGGAAAUAUUUGCCCUUCCUUGCCUUACCAGAUGGCGCACACAACUACCAGGAAGAUACUGUAUUUUUUCACUUGCCACCCAGAAAUGGAAAUGGAGCUACAGUAUAUGGUAUCUCCUGCUAUCGGCAAAUUGAAGCCAAGGCAUUGAAAGUGCGGCAAGCAGAUAUCACCAGAGAGACGGUUCAGAAAAGUGUCUGUGUUCUAAGCAAGUUGCCUCUCUAUGGCUUGCUUCAAGCAAAACUUCAGCUCAUUACACAUGCAUAUUUUGAAGAGAAGGAUUUUUCCCAAAUUUCCAUUCUAAAGGAGCUUUAUGAACAUAUGAAUAGUUCCUUGGGAGGAACUUCAUUAGAAGGAUCCCAAGUAUAUCUUGGUCUGUCUCCUCGAGAUCUUGUGCUUCAUUUUCGACAUAAGGUCUUAAUCCUGUUUAAACUAAUUCUUCUUGAGAAAAAGGUUCUCUUUUAUAUUUCUCCAGUGAAUAAAUUGGUGGGUGCCCUGAUGACUGUGUUAUCCCUUUUUCCAGGCAUGAUUGAACAUGGUCUCAGUGACUGUUCUCAGUACAGACCCCGAAAGAGUAUGUCUGAAGAUGCUGGGCUUCAUGAAAGUAAUCCACCUGCAGAUGAUUUGGUUUCUAUGUCCGCGCCUGAAAUGUUAAAUACCAACUCAGGAACUGUUAAGAAAAUCAUGACAGGGAACCAUGGAGGAGAUGCUGGCAUCAAGACUGAAGAACCUUUGCUCCAAGCGGAAGAGGACAGCAGCAAAGGACAGGAACCCAGUGAUACCAGUCAAUAUUUGAAACCUCCUUCUCGCCCAUCUCCAGAAUCUUCAGAAAGUGACUGGGAGACCUUGGAUCCUAGUGUCUUGGAGGACCCCACCUUGAAAGAAAAGGAACAGGCGGGGUCAGAACAGACAAACUCAUUUCCAAAGGAGUCUGUGCCCUCAGACAGUCCUCCAAUUACUGUACAACCUCAAGCUAAUACAGGCCAGGUGGUCCUGAUACCAGGGCUAAUUUCUGGUUUGGAAGAGGACCAGUAUGGCAUGCCCCUGGCCAUCUUCACAAAGGGAUAUCUGUGUCUGCCAUAUAUGGCAUUGCAGCAGCACCACCUUCUCUCUGACGUCACCGUUCGCGGAUUUGUUGCCGGGGCUACUAACAUCCUCUUCCGACAACAGAAGCACCUCAGUGAUGCCAUUGUGGAGGUGGAAGAAGCUCUGAUCCAGAUCCACGAUCCGGAACUCAGGAAGCUGCUUAACCCGACCACCGCAGACCUCAGGUUCGCAGAUUACCUAGUGAGGCACGUGACGGAGAACCGAGAUGACGUCUUCCUGGAUGGCACAGGCUGGGAAGGAGGUGAUGAAUGGAUCCGAGCCCAGUUUGCAGUCUACAUCCACGCGCUGCUGGCUGCCACACUGCAGUUAGAUAACGAAAAGAUACUAUCGGACUAUGGGACAACCUUUGUUACAGCAUGGAAGAAUACUCACAACUACAGGGUGUGGAACAGCAACAAGCAUCCGGCACUUGCAGAAAUAAAUCCAAAUCAUCCUUUUCAAGGCCAGUACUCAGUGUCAGACAUGAAGUUAAGAUUCUCACAUUCUGUUCAAAACAGUGAACGUGGCAAAAAAAUUGGAAACGUCAUGGUCACAACCAGCCGAAAUGUUGUACAAACAGGAAAAGCUGUUGGCCAGUCAGUUGGAGGAGCUUUUUCCAGUGCAAAGACAGCUAUGUCUUCCUGGCUUUCCACUUUCGCCAGUCCCGCCCCCCAGAGUCUCACUGAGCCGCCCGACGGGAAGCCCUGACAAGGUGUCCAGAGGCCGUGGUUGCUUCCUUAAGUUUAAGUGUUCCCUGUCUGUCUGCUGCUCCCAGACUGUUCCUCUUCAUUGGCCACAGGUCCAUGGCAGGGGACCAGUACGUCGAACUGUUUACAUGGAUGGUUGCCCUCUGUCUAAACGAAUUCACAGGAUGCUGGAGAGAUGAAAUCGCAGCCAUAGAGGGGAUGGCUUUCCAGGUGGUGGCCUCUGCAGGAAGAGCCUCUUAGCUUCUGUGGAAGGCUAAGUGCACAAAGUAUAACCAAGCAGAGAUUGGUCGUGCAGUCAUAUCACAUGCUCACUGACAGAAACCCCCAGGGGAAUAGAACAUUGUCGCAAGCAGCCCAUUUUCCCAUCUGGACUGGUAAGCUUCGGACUAGCCCUUGGCAUUUCCACUGAGGGCUCCUGGCGUAUUUUCAUAUAUAUUUCCAUGUAUGGUGAUUUUCUUACAGCUGUUGUACAAAAGAUGAGCUUUGUGAUGUGCUUCAUAGAAGCAGACAGAUUUCUUUGCCCCAUGGGAACGUGCGCUGACUUGAGUGUAGGGUUAAUUUAAGGUACCAGUGUUUUCUGACGUGCACCGUUAACACCCCAGAGCUGAUGAGGUACUUGGCCACAGUAGAGCUCGGUGCCACCGGCCUCUCGCCUUUUCCAAGGACCUCUGCCAACUGGGCGUCAGGCUCUGCUGUGGUGGGGUGAUGGUUCCCCCUCCUCUCCAAGGUCAGAACUGCCUGUUUUUUACUCCGAUAAGAUGGGAGUUGCAAUUAUUGAAUCUGGUAACAUCUAGAAGGGGUAUGAUUAUGGGGCCAGUUUUUUUCCAAGGAAUAGCCUUUCGUGAAGGUCUUCUCUGCCUGGACUUAAUCUCCCCACACUAAGCAUACUUUGUAUGAUCAUGGAGUCAGAAGCCAGGGAGCAGCCUGGGGCAGGAGAUCAGAAUGGUUAUGCUCUUUGCAUAACCUGUGAACACCUGUACUUGGAACUGCUGACAUCCCAAUAGGACAAGAACCAAGAUUCAAACCAUUUAAAUGUAUGGGUUUUACCUUUCACUGGAUCCGGCUACAUUCCUGCAGCACAUGAAUGUGGACUCGAGCUGUGGGAAAAUGACGAAAGCCACAUGAUGAAAUAUGGAUCGUUGUUGAAGCCAGGUGAUGAGGAUGUUGGGGUUCAUUAGACUCCUCGUUCUGGUUUGGGCUUAUGACCACCAUCUUUUACUUUUCCUGCUUAUUCCCGCCCAGGCAAUUUCUCCUCAAAAGCUGUAGGGAAUUUUAAAGAUUCAGGUCAGGCCCUCAGCAUCAAGUCAGUGUGUCUGCCAGUCCUAUUCUGACCAUGUGUGGUUCCAGCCACCUGUCCUUGUAAAACAGAAUUUCUCUUAGUUCCUCUUUAUGCCCCUAGAGCUAGCUUUACAGUGGAAGGGCUGGAAAAGACAGCUCAUCAGUUUUUGGAAAAUGUGUUCCUCUGUCACGAAGUUCUCACUGUUGUUCCUCAGUAACGUGUCUCCAUUCCAUCUCUUUCUAGCUCUGCUUCCACAUUCCCAGUGCGUCUGACCCUUAACCGAUUUCCGUUUCUAGCCCUACCCCCCACACCCAGAUACAUCUUCCCAAAACAUGGCAUUUUUGUUACGUGGUAACCCUCCAUAUCUACUUACUGUCUACAGAAUUAAGUCCAGUUUCCUAAGUCAGGCACCCAAGGUCCACCACAUGGGAACUCAUGCCCCAUUAGCUUCUCCACUGCUGCCCUAGUCUCCACAAGCCCCGGGGCAGACUGCAGCCUUUGCUGUGCCUCACUUUCCCACCCUCUGAUUGUUCAGAGAAGCAUUCCUGAGAGAACCCACAAUCGAAGACCCAGCGCCAGCCUCUCUCCUUUCUUAAAGUGCCCCCCGCCUUGGAGCUACUUUGAGUCCUUUCUAAAACAAUUGGACUCAGGGUUUAGUGAGAACCACGUAAAUAGGGGCUUCUUAGGCUUGGAGAUUUGCAGUUGGUAAAACUUUUUUAAGAAGACGUGUGGGGCAGCGCUUGGGUGUCUCAGUCAGUGGUUUUGGCUCAGGUCAUGAUCUCACAGUUCUUGGGAUCCAGCCCUGAGUCAGGCUCCACACUGAGCUUGGAACCUGCUUGAGAUUCUCUCCCUCUCUCUCUCUCUCUGUCUCUCUCUCUCUCUCUCUCUCUCUGCCCCUCCCUUGCUUAUGCUUUCUCUUGCUCUCUAAAAUAAAAAGAGAUGGGCAACUUAAGUGAAAUAUACCUACAGAAAAGAGCAAGGAAUAUACAUUAAAAUAAAUCUAAAGCAACCAUUCAUGUAACCACGACCCAGGUAAGAAGUAGCAUAUUAGCACCUAAAAACCCUACUCCGUGUAUCUUUCCAUGGUCAUAAUUCUUCCUGCUCCAGAAGUAUUUUAUACUCAUUUUUGAGAUAAUUAUUUCUUUAUAAUUUUACCUCCUUGUUCCUACAUUUGUAUCCCAAAUUGCAUAGUUUAUUUUGUGUCUAUUUUUGAACUUGAAUAAGUGGAAUCACCAUUUGUAUUUUUCUGCUUAAUUCUUGUUUUUAGGAGAUUAUUCUCCUUCAUUGUUUUAUUAAUACAGUGCCGUUCUACAGCUAUCCCACAGUUUAUCCAGUCUGCCAAAGGUGGACUUAGCCGGUUCCCGUUCAGGGCUGACAUGAAUGGCGGUGCUGCUCUGACCAUUCUAGUGCACCUGCAUGUGUUUCUCCAGGGUGUAGAUGCCAGAGUGAAACUGCUGGAUGUUUUUCCGCAUUGUCUCCAAUGCUUAGGUUCUGUGCACUGGCUUAUGGAGAUGGAUGAAGGAACCUUAUUUUUUUUGAAUCUGAAGGGCUGACAUUCCCCAAGUCUAAAAAUCACAUAAGUGUCCAGUGUUUUCCAGAACUCUCCCAGGCAGCCACAAACUCUCAGGACUUUUAACACAUCAGAGACAACUGGCCUCCAGAGACCCAAGAUUUGUGCCUCUUUAGCUACUCGCACUGGGAAGCCCCUCUUAAGAUUAACCCAAGUCCCUCAUACUGCAUUUUAAACUCCAGCUGCUCCCCAUCAAAUAUUUAAGGGCCUACUAUGUACACACGUGGUGCCUGGCCCUUUGGAGCCUGCUGUUCAGCAGGGACAGGUGAGCAAUUAUCACAGAGGGCAAAAAGGGCCAGGGCCAAGGCCAGGAUGCGUUUAAGCCCAUCAAGGUGGCCAGCUGCUUUCUGAACAGGGACGAGUCAAAGUCUCUUCCCCUGGGAGCCUAAGUUGAGACCUGAAGGCUAAGUGAGAGUCGUUGGGGGUGAGGUGGGAGUCAGGUGCAGUGAUGGGAGAGGCUGUAGAGGACUCCGGGGCUGGGAGAUCAGCACAGGCAGACUUGGAAGUGGUGAAUGUUCUUCGGUGUGGCUGGGCCCUCCACGGCUAGGUCGGGAUGGGGAGAGCCCUGUCAGCCGGCAGAAUGGGGAUAGACUCGGAGAAGGCAGGGGAAUACCUGGAAGGGCUUGGCUGCGGGCACGAGGCGGGUCGGGUGCUGCGGAUUAGAAAGUUGGUUGAGAAGGACUCACCCUCUUUCGCCCUGCCCUUGGCCACACAUUCAGUGAUGUUUAUCGGAACCCAGCAGCCACCCUGCCCUUUCCUCAGCAGUCCAGUCUCCCAGCUUUCCGCCGACUUUAAAUCACAUUCGCCCCAAACAAUAGGCCCCAGAACAAAACUCCUGUGACUGCCGCUCUCCGUCAAAAAGCGGUCACUGUGAGAACGUGUUUUCCAUGGAUUUUGCCAGAAUUUAGCGGCGCUUGUCAGUGAAAAGCAAGUCUGAGAGAUUGGGGAGAGCACGGGGGCCACUCCAGCAUCUCAGUUACUCUUCUGGCCAAGUAAAGACCCAGGAGACCUGCCCCACCAGCGCGGUGUAGAAAACUCACUUUUUCUUCACACACUUGACAGGCAGGGAGUACUUUGUAUGCUCAGAAAGUCCAUCUGCAGUCAUCAUCUGGAUUUUCAUUUCUAUUUGAUCCAGUCCAUGGAUUUUUUUUUUUUUUUUUUUUUUUUUUCCCCCCCGAUCAACUUUCCCAGAAGGCAGUGCUUUGCUCUGGGGAAUGGUUAGGUCAAAGUCGGAUAGCAGAGGAUUUGAAAAGUAGCCUCUCCACGUGCCCCUCCUGGCUGUGCCCUAGAUGAUGGUCCCUCAGCAGCGCUUCCUAGAAACCACUGAGACUGAAGUUAAACUACACCGUCCUCAGCUGCAGUGACCCUGAACUGGCCCUUUGUGCAAGGUCAUCCAUGAGACACCAAUGCCUCCGUGCCCUCAAUAGGUCAUUCACUCCCACUAAAUGCUUUUACAGUGGAAAUUCCCAGGUUAAGUUCCACAGGUAAAGAUGAAUAUUUUGUGUGUGUCACCCAUUGUAUGGUUGUUCAAAAUCACAGGGCCAGCAGGACUGGAGUUUUUUCAUCUUACAUAUUUUCCCACCUUUGAAGUAUUAGUGAUAGCUCCCUCGUUUUGAGACUCAAGGUUUAAAACAUUUUUAUUCUGUGUGCCAUGAAUUCCACUUCUUUGAGCAUCUGGGCUUAAUGAAUCCUUAGCAUUUUUCUUUUGGGGCUUUGUUGGAAAUGAAGGAUACUCUCCACUACUUCUCUGGUUGGAAGAUAUGUGUUUCAUUCCCUUCUAAGUUAUCAGGCUAAACCUGUGACCUUUCUAAAUCCUGUGACCUUGACAAGCAGGCAGUUUUUCCAAAAUUUCUAACACAAUUCCUCGGGAAUGUGGAAUGGGUUUCCUUGUGGACAGUGUUGUUUAUGGGGUCUCUGUCUCCAUUCAUAGAAACCUGCAUGUCAGAGAGACAGCGUAUAUAUGAAAACAUAGGAUAAAGGUGCUAGAGAACUGAAAUGCUCUGGGUAGCGGCCCCCCAAAACCUGAUGGCUAAAAACAGCUCCCCUCGGCUGCAGCCCCAGCAGCAGUAAGUAAAGAUGCACUCAGUCACAAACCGACUUACUAGGGUCCUGUCUGGAGUCCAGAAGACAAGAGGAGACCUCUAAAAUUUGAUAUAAAGUGAUGAGAGUCUUGAGAGGUCCACUAAAGUGCCAUGGCAGUCCUUUCUGCUGGGACAAUCAGAGAAGGCUUCCUGGAGGUGUUAUGGAACCAGGCUGGAACGAUGGCAGAAGAAGCAAGCGGCACUCGGAGAUCUUGGUGGAUUGGAGAUUUAUUUUACACCGGCGGGCUCAGAGGAGACUGUUUCUCCAAAGGUCUGAGCCCGGAAUGCAAGUCAGGAGGGUAAUUUAUAGCCAACAACGUCCAUAUCUGUGGGGGGUUUUGCCCACAAAGCAAACAAAGGAAGAAGAACCCAGAGGAGGGGUCUCUAAGCUGGAGACCAGAGUUUGUUUUAGCCCCGUCGGCCAUCUUUGGCGUACUUGACUUCUCCAACAGAGGAAGUGGCAUUUGCUCUGUUUCUUGAGUGAAGAAGGUAAGAUUCUGAAUAGAGACAGUAAAGGUGAGAGCAGAUUUUUAGCCCACCCUCAGGGGGUCCCAUCGCCUGUGAUGCAGAAAAGGAGAAGCUCAGAGUGAGUAAAGCUCUAGGAAGGGAUGAGUGAUGAUGGAAGAGAACUAAGAACCUCUGGAGAUGCUAAAGCCAGAAGGAGCCUGAGAUGCAUAGCAACCACCCCGAGUUACUCUUGGUGAGAAUACAAGGCGUAAGGAAAAGACAGUGAAGAGAGGGAAAACCCCAAGCGGCAGAUACAGGAAGGAAAAGAAGUUCAGUUGACCCUUGAACAACGGGAUUAAGGGCACCCUUGCAGUCAAAAAUGUGUGUGUAACUUUGGACUCCCCCAGAACUUUACUAAUAGCCUACUGUUGACCACUGGCCUUACUGAUAACAUAAACAGUCGAUUGAUGGAUAUUUUGUGUGUUAUAUGGAUUCAAUACGAUAUUCUUACAAUAAAGUAAGCUAGGGAGAAGAAGAUGAUGUUAUGAGGAAAAUCAUAAGGAAGAGAAAAUAUAUAUUACAGUUCUAUAUCAAAAAACCCCACAUAUAAGUGGACCUGACAGGGGCCAACUUCCUCUCUGAGGUGGGAAACUGCUCAAAGUCUCAGAUGAAUGAUGAGUAAGGCCACUCUGACAGAAGUGGACACCCUCCUCCAGCACUUGACCAUUUAUUCCUUCCUUUGUUGGGUAUCCAUGCUUCCCAUAGUCUAGCAAGCUCACGCAUUCCAACAGUUUUUUCGAGUGCGUUUGAACGUUAAGCUAAUACUUGUUUCAUUGCUUUAAAAGGUGCCCUUUUAAAAAGCAGGAUCCCAGUCACUAACACAGGAAUGAACAUUUUUAUGGCCCUGUACCUUAAUUAGGGGAGAGCAUCGAAGUCAUUUUAAAUGGACUUAAUCUCAUCCUAAGCCUGGCCAACAUUCCAUUCCUAAGGGUUUACAUCAAGGAAGUCAUCCAAAAGGGGGAAAAAGGUAUGUGUAUAGAGUUUUAUGUCACUGUAAAGGACAAUGAAAAAUUGGGAACAACAGAAGGAUUGCUAUGACACUUAAGAGUAAUACUAACAAUGCACACCUGGGUGGCUUAGUAAAGUGUCCGACUCUUGGUUUCAGCUCAGGUCACAUUCUCACGGUUUGUGAGAUCAAGACGUGCAAUGGGCUCUGCGCUUGUAGCAUGGAAAUUGUUUGGGAUUCUCUCUCUCCCUCUCUCUGCUCCUCUCCCCCUCAAAAUACAUAAAAUAAACAUUUAGAAAAACUAAUACUAAUAAGUAUGAUGCUCACUUGUAAUGUUAGCUAUUAAUCACUGAAAAGUGAGGUAAUGUAGAGAAGAGGAAAAUACAGAAAAAAGAUUAUACGAAUACAGGCGGUUCACGGGAGGGCAGGAAUCCCAACUUGUUUCCCUCUGCACUUCUUCUUCCUUUGUCUUUUCCCAGUUUUUCCCAUGCUGGUUUGAGAACAUGGAAAAAUGAGUUGAUUUUGGAGAUCAAUGACACUUUGGUGAUUUUCUUCUGCUAAUGAAUGGUAAUGUGUUGGAGGGGACAAUCCAAGCAGUGAUCAGGGUAUGGAAGACAUUACACAUAAGUAAAAGCC